rnacentral:rRNA from 1 species
GUCGGAACGAUAGGUGGAGCGGUGAAAUGCGUUGAUAUCUAGCGGAACAUCAGUGGCGAAGGCGGCUUCCUGGACCAAUACUGACGCUGAGGUGCGAAAGCGUGGGGAGCAAACAGGAUUAGAUACCCCGGUAGUCCACGCCGUAAACGAUGUGCACUAGGUCGAGGACACUCUGACGUGAUUCUUGGUCGAAGCAAAAGUGUUAAGUGCACCGCCUGGGGAGUACGGUCGCAAGGCUAAAACUCAAAGGAAUUGACGGGGGCUCACACAAGCGGUGGAGCAUGUGGCUUAAUUCGAAGCAACGCGAAGAACCUUAUCCUGGGUUUGACAUGUAUGAAUUAGCUUCCUGAAAGGGAAGUGACGCCCUUGUGGUGGAACAUACACAGGUGCUGCAUGGCUGUCGUCAGCUCGUGCUGUGAAGUGUCGGGUUAAGUCCCUUAACGAGCGCAACCCCUAUCGCUAGUUGCCAUCAGGUAAUGCUGGGGACUCUAGCGAGACUGCCGGUGUUAAACCGGACGAAGGUGGGGAUGACGUCAAGUCCGCAUGGCCUUUAUGCCCAGGGCUGCACACGUGCUACAAUGGCAGGUACAGAACGAAGCAAUACCGCGAGGUGGAGCAAAUCGCAAAAACCUGCCCCAGUUCGGAUUGCAGGCUGCAACUCGCCUGCAUGAAGUUGGAAUCGCUAGUAAUCGGGGAUCAG